AGCUUUGCGCAGUGGCAGUAUCAUAGCCAAUGAGGUCAAACCGAGGCGUGAUUAUUGCUAAUUGAAACUUUUCCCCAUACCCGCCGUGAUGACUUGAAAUAUAGUCAGCACUGGCAAUUUUGACAGUCUCUCAGGAGA
rnacentral:snRNA from 1 species